rnacentral:rRNA from 1 species
AGAAGUNGUAACAAGGUUUCCGUAGGUGAACCUGCGGAAGGAUCAUUGUUGAU